GCAUCGCGUGAUUCUUAGCUCUUGCUAAGGUCAGCCAAACACUCCCAGGCCGCUUUUCUUUGCAGGGAUCUCCCGCUGAGCUGACUGCUGCGAGCCGGAGACCCGAGACAAUUCUCUGACUCCGAAGGCGCCUGGGACAGAGACAUUUGUUUCAGCUUCCUGUGACUUAACCCCCACACUCUGGGUCCCACACAACAAAUUUUUUCCCGGUGUGUGGGCUGAGAAUCAAACCAGACGUGUUUCUUGGGCGCUUUUGGUUUUUUCUUCAUUCCCUCCCUCCCUUUGCCUCCGGUCCUUCAGUUGCUCCCUUCUUCUGCUGGAACCAGAGGAACCAAGGCGACCUCUGUGCGUUGCCAGGAGCGGGGAGCAUUUCAAGGCCUUGCUGGCUGGAGAUGGAGCGGGUUAUCGGCUGCCUCUAGAGGUUCCCAGGCUCCUCUCAGACUAGGAAAGCCAAAGAGAGGAGGGGGGGCUGGGCACGCUGAGGUUCAGACUUGGCUAUUUUUAAGGACUAUGUCACUCGAGUGGCCGGGGGAGGGUGGCUCAACCCGACUCACGUCCCCCUUUCUGCUUUCCUUUCCCAUGGUCUAUGGGCAGAAAAUCAGGUUCACCUUCAACCUUCUUAGAUCUUUUUGCUCAGGGUGGAGGUGGAGCAUCUAAUGACCCAGCAGAAGGAUCCUGAGACUAAAGCCUAUCCCCAAGAUAGCAGAAACGAAACUGUAGGCUGAACACGACGUACAUAGGAAUUGGGACUUGAAGGAAUUGGGACCUGAAUUUCCUCGAAGGAAAAACAAAACAAACAACAGAUGUUGGAUUUCACACAGAGACCAAGAGAGAUCUUCCCUCCACCCCCAAGGAAUUGGGCACCAGCAAGUGCCCUCUGGGACCCAUGUGAUUCGGUUUAAAUGGUGAUCAACAUUGGUCACCACUGUGUCAUCGGUUGCCUCUCCGAAUUCAGCGGGAAUCAAUUCACAAGCAAAGCAGUGAGAGAGAAAUGAGGUCUGGAAAGAAUCUGGAGCUUGGACAGUUUCCAGUGUACGAUAAGGGAGACAAGAAAACACUACGAAGUCCACCUUGGUCCUAUCGAAAGUACACCCCAGGUACAGCUGUGCCGAUAGAACUACAAAGGAUCUGAGCUAGAUGUGUAAAGUGACCCGCACUGAACGAAUUUGGUCCCCUCUCCUAACAACGGAGCCUGACACCACAGACACCACGUUCCUUUCCUCAGUGACUAUCAACCCUCAUCUCGAGAUCACCCUGAUCAAAGCAAAAACAUUGGAAGAGAACACCUGGACGCACCUCAUCUUAUUCAAGAAAAAAUAAAGAAGCAAAGAACCUGUACGGCCAAGUCUGGGUACCCAACCCCUAUGCACUCUUCCCCCAGCCCUGAACCUUCAGCUCCUGGGAUUCCAGGCUGAAGAGGCACGGUUUUGAAUUCUUUGUAGACACCCUAGAUCUAGCCUGGUACCUGGAGUCAGAUCUUGAGGUUUCACUAUAAAAGGAAGUAGCCCUUUCUAGUUGUUUGGCGUUUAAAGAAUUGUUUGAUGUUGCAAAAAAGAAUAGCUGCAAAAAUGAAGCUGUGCUUUCCUCACAGACCUGGGAAAAUGCUUCCCAGUAUUUCCAGUCAGUAGACCAGUUGGUGGCAUAUUUCACAGUCACUUCUAAGUUACAGGUCACUCUCCUAUUUUUUUUUUUAAAUAAAACUUGCCAAAUUCCUAGAAGCCCCAAAA
rnacentral:sRNA from 1 species